CAAGGCUUGAAAUCACCAGUAAUCCUCCAAAGAUUGGGGUUCCUUCGGGGAUCGGUGACAGGUGGUGCAUGGCUGUCGUCAGCUCGUGUCGUGAGAUGUUGGGUUAAGACCCGCAACGAGCGCAACCCCUGUCCCAUGUUGCCAGCACGUGGUGGUGGGGACUCAUGGGAGACUGCCGGGGUCAACUCGGAGGAAGGUGGGGAUGACGUCAAGUCAUCAUGCCCCUUAUGCCUUGGGCUGCAAACAUGCUACAAUGGCCGGUACAAGAUGGGGCGUGCGAUCGCCGUGAGGCGGAGCGAAUCUCUUAAAGCCGGUCUCAGUUCGGAUUGGGGUCUGCAACUCGACCCCAUGAAGGUGGAGUCGCUAGUAAUCGCGGAUCAGCAACGCG
rnacentral:rRNA from 1 species